UACGUAGGGCGCAAGCGUUGUCCGGAAUUACUGGGCGUAAAGCGUGCGUAGACGGUUAUGUAAGUUAGGUGUGAAAGCCCCGGGCUCAACCUGGGAAUUGCAUUUAAGACUGCAUAGCUAGGGUGCGGAAGAGGGAAGCGGAAUUUCCGGUGUAGCGGUGAAAUGCGUAGAUAUCGGAAGGAACAUCAGUGGCGAAAGCGGCUUCCUGGUCCAGCACCGACGUUCAGGCACGAAAGCGUGGGGAGCAAACAGG
rnacentral:rRNA from 1 species